UACGUAGGGGGCAAGCGUUAUCCGGAUUUACUGGGUGUAAAGGGAGCGUAGACGGCAUAGCAAGUCUGAAGUGAAAGCCCGUGGCUCAACCGCGGAACUGCUUUGGAAACUGUUAAGCUGGAGUACUGGAGAGGCAAGCGGAAUUCCUAGUGUAGCGGUGAAAUGCGUAGAUAUUAGGAGGAACACCAGUGGCGAAGGCGGCCUGCUGGACGAUGACUGACGUUGAGGCUCGAAAGCGUGGGGAGCAAACAGG
rnacentral:rRNA from 1 species